rnacentral:rRNA from 1 species
UACGUAGGGUCCAAGCGUUGACCGGAAUUACUGGGCGUAAAGAGCUCGUAGGUGGUUUGUCGCGUUGUUCGUGAAAACUCACAGCUCAACUGUGGGCGUGCGGGCGAUACGGGCAGACUGGAGUACUGCAGGGGAGACUGGAAUUCCUGGUGUAGCGGUGGAAUGCGCAGAUAUCAGGAGGAACACCGGUGGCGAAGGCGGGUCUCUGGGCAGUAACUGACGCUGAGGAGCGAAAGCGUGGGGAGCGAACAGG